rnacentral:rRNA from 1 species
GAUGAACGCUGGCGGCGUGCCUAAUACAUGCAAGUCGAGCGAACAGAUGAGGAGCUUGCUCCUCUGACGUUAGCGGCGGACGGGUGAGUAACACGUGGAUAACCUACCUAUAAGACUGGGAUAACUUCGGGAAACCGGAGCUAAUACCGGAUAAUAUAUUGAACCGCAUGGUUCAAUAGUGAAAGACGGUUUUGCUGUCACUUAUAGAUGGAUCCGCGCCGCAUUAGCUAGUUGGUAAGGUAACGGCUUACCAAGGCGACGAUGCGUAGCCGACCUGAGAGGGUGAUCGGCCACACUGGAACUGAGACACGGUCCAGACUCCUACGGGAGGCAGCAGUAGGGAAUCUUCCGCAAUGGGCGAAAGCCUGACGGAGCAACGCCGCGUGAGUGAUGAAGGUCUUCGGAUCGUAAAACUCUGUCAUUAGGGAAGAACAAAUGUGUAAGUAACUAUGCACGUCUUGACGGUACCUAAUCAGAAAGCCACGGCUAACUACGG